rnacentral:rRNA from 1 species
GGGGAAUAUUGGACAAUGGGCGCAAGCCUGAUCCAGCCAUGCCGCGUGAGUGAUGAAGGCCUUAGGGUUGUAAAGCUCUUUUGCCGGGGACGAUAAUGACGGUACCCGUAGAAGAAGCUCCGGCUAACUUCGUGCCAGCAGCCGCGGUAAUACGAAGGGGGCUAGCGUUGUUCGGAAUUACUGGGCGUAAAGCGCGCGCAGGCGGCCAUUCAAGUCAGGGGUGAAAGCCCAGAGCUCAACUCUGGAACUGCCCUUGAAACUGUAUGGCUUGAGUAUGAGAGAGGUGAGUGGAAUUCCCAGUGUAGAGGUGAAAUUCGUAGAUAUUGGGAAGAACACCGGUGGCGAAGGCGGCUCACUGGCCCCAUUACUGACGCUCAGGCGCGACAGCGUGGGGAUCAAACAG